UUUCAGAGUGUGCCGACGAACCGGGCAGCGAUGGCUGGCCGGGGUCUGCUGCCGCUGCUGCGUCUGCUACUCUUCGUCAUCGCGCUGGAGGCGUCUUCAUCACUUUCAAGUUAUACAUCGACUCAUCGCAGGAGCCUCUCUUCUUGGUCACCCUCUCUUCACUCACGAGUCAACGGAUCUACGAUAAAACAUUACAAGAUGAAAAGAGAAUUACCCGAUGGAUCAGGAAAGAGGGCAGCAAAAGGGCCCCCACAACGAGGAAACAAAACGUGCCCGCAGGCGCUGCUCCUCCAAAUAGUAUAUUAAAAGUUUCAAAAUGGAGGCCAGAUACUUCCCUCUUGAAAGUGUUAAGUUGUGGGUAGGAGGAAAUUCAGAUACAGAAAUGCUGUUUCAGAGUUUACAAGCGAAAUGAAGGAACACAUGUAGAUGCUAGUUAGCUUGCAUAAGAAAUUUGGAUGAUACAUAUAGGAAUGAGCAGGAGUAGAAUGUCAGCAGGUCAUAAAAGUGAUGAAGGCGUGCAGUUAUCAAGUUUAGAAGAGCAUUCAGCAUAACCAUAUUGAUAGAAGACAGAAAGAGAGGCAUCAUUAUGGCAGAGGUUAAGCGGAAGAAGACUGUCAGUAAGAGGAGGAGAAUUGAAGAUACAUUUUGGGGCCCUUUUGGUGCCUGAUUUCCUGUAAGACGAUUGCAGUCUUACAGUCUCGUGAUGGAACACUUUUAUUUUUUCUCUAUUCAUGUGAGUGUGGAACCAUCCCCACACAUGACAUGCUUGCUCCAUAUGAGAGCUGUUACCUUUUAGCCCAGUUUAGCCACUGGGCGGUCAGGGAGUCUUGGUAAAAUACAAGAAAACAAACAAACAGAAAACAAAACGGAGAUACUACCAUGCCUCACCCCGGGGCACCGGGGGACCAGGAACCUCAAGAAUGAAGAUUGAUUGAUGAUUGAACAUGAAAAAAUAUUACUUUAUAUAUGAUAAUUAAUUAAUGAAGAAGUAAAUGCCACGAUAUCACUCAGUUCUGUCUGUUUAUUAUGAAUUUGCAGUUCAUGAAACUUUGACAGCCCAUUUCUCAAAACAUAACAUUUAUAACUUUGAACUUCAUCUCCUCCGUCAUUUUCCAAACCAACUUUAAUGAAACAAAAACUCAAGCUAUACCUAGACUUGUCUGAUUGAAACACCACCUCGGUUUUCUUCAUAACUGAAAGGACUGAAUUUUCAAAUAUGUUUUCCCUGCCUCUAGAAGGAUGAAAAAGUAAAAAAAAUCAUAUUUCUCAAACGAAGGAUUUUCUGUAAAAUGUAGAUGUACUGUUUUCAUUGUCAAAGCAAGGUCCUAACACCAUAUAUGUUUCAUUGGUGUAGAACAAUUCGUAUAGGAGAAGAUGUGAUUUGAAAAAUAUAUCAAAUUUGGACAUCCAUAUAUGGGUAAAAAAUAGGAAGGGGUCCUACAUCGGAUUUUGUGGGCUAGAAUUGAUGUAUAUGGUGCCCCUUACUUCCUGUAUAAAUAGCAUUGGCAUAACCCAAUAAAAAAAAAAAAAAAAUUUGGAGCAACCGGCCCCUUAAUGCUCCUUUCAGAUAGUUCAGUUUAUUCACAGGAGUCAGUUCCGAUCUUGUAUCGAUUUUCCUCUUUGUAGACAUAUUUGAAUUUAAUUUAAGAUUAACCGCUCAAGAGCUGCUCAGGAAAUUACGUGACCGAAUUAAUCAACAACAAGGGGGUGGGUAAAUACUAACAAAUUUAAUGUCAUCUAAUUAUAUUCACCUGCCCACUACUCAUAAUUAAAAUUAAUGGCAUCCUGGAAUUCGUGCCAAAUGUGUUGUCUUCCUUCCCAGGUCGGAUGUAGCUACACAGUCCAUGACCCGCAAGUUCAUAGGAAUGAUUCAAUGGUCUUACGAAUCUCAAACAACUCAGCCGACAGUUCUUCCACGUGUGUCUCGGCACUGUCAUUAACUCCCAGCACGAUAUUCAAUAAUUGGUAGCAUGGUUAUAACACUUCCCGGAAGUGUGAUAAAUUAUCAGCCUGGGCGCCACCAUA